GACGAACGCUGGCGGCGUGCCUAAUACAUGCAAGUAGAACGCAGUUGCGAACGGGUGAGUACCGCGUAGGUAACUGCGUCAUAGCAGGGAAUAACUAUUGGAAACGCUAGCUAAUACCUCAUACUGUGAGAUGGACCUGCGGUGGAUUAGCUAGUUGGUGAGGUAAAGGGUCAACAAGGCGACGAUACAUAGCCGAACUGAUAGGGUGAUCGGCCACACUGGGACGGAGACACGGCCCAGACUCCUUCGGGAGGCAGGAGGAGGGAAUCUUCGGCAAAUGACGGAAGGUUGACCGGGAAACGCCGCGUGAAUGAAGAAGGGUUUCGGAUCGUAAAGCUCUGUUGUUAGGGAAACGGUAACUAACCAGAAAGGGACGGCUAACUACGUGCCAGCCGCCGCGGUAAUUC
rnacentral:rRNA from 1 species